GCAGGAAAAUGUGGCGGAGACAAUAAUUCCCAAAUCCUCGAGUUUUAUAAAUGCAUUCCAAUUGAUAGCCAUGUCAAAUGAUCUCGAUUUGUCAGGAUGAGAAAUAGAAGACAACAAGAAUUGGACCCAAGCAUACCAUUACUGAAACCAUGAAGAAAAUAGAAGCGGCUGCAACAGAUGCGAGUAUUCUGUAGCAAGAACAAACAACUUCAGGAUGUAAAUGCAUGCAAAAAUUCCAAUGGAAACGUAAAUCACCAUAUCCAGGUGGAUUACCAAAAGGAGCUCAUCAAGUAUUCUGCGAGCACGAUCGACCUUGAUCAUUUGGAUAUUUAAAGGAGCCAUUGAUAAAGGGAAGACGACGAGUUGUGAACCUGUGUGCCAAUUUUGCCAAUUUUGCAGACAAGCAGAAACUCUGGCACUUGCCUCUGUCCUAUCCUCCUCUCGCCGCCGUCUCCCUUCUCUCACCUCCGUCGUCUUACUCCUCCUUUCUCUGUCUCUGGAAUCCUAUCGUCAUCUUCCUCGCAUGCAAGGCUCUGGCCCUUUCAAUUGAAACCAAAACGUGUUUCAGUUCUGAGGAAGAGCAAGAAAAAGGAAGAACCAGUAUUAGAAGAUCUUCCCAAAGAGUACUGUGAUGAUUCUAAGCCAUGAAGGAUUUGAUAAACCCACAAUUGAUAACAAUGUGCGGCGGCACCAACGGUUUUGGACAAGGAACAAGUAAGUACCAUUUUGUUUCAUUGUUUCAAAGUAUUAUGUAGAGAUUGCUUUAAUAU